rnacentral:rRNA from 1 species
UAGGGAAUCUUCGGCAAUGGGGGGAACCCUGACCGAGCAACGCCGCGUGAGUGAAGAAGGUUUUCGGAUCGUAAAGCUCUGUUGUUAAGGAAGAAAGAGUGUGAGAAUGGAAAGUUCAUACUGUGACGGUACUUAACCAGAAAGGGACGGCUAACUACGUGCCAGCAGCCGCGGUAAUACGUAGGGGGCUAGCGUUGUCCGGAAUCACUGGGCGUAAAGGGUUCGCAGGCGGAAAUGCAAGUCAGGUGUAAAAGGCAGUAGCUUAACUACUGUAAGCAUUUGAAACUGCAUAUCUUGAGAAGAGUAGAGGUAAGUGGAAUUUUUAGUGUAGCGGUGAAAUGCGUAGAUAUUAAAAAGAAUACCGGUGGCAAAGGCGACUUACUGGGCUCAUUCUGACGCUGAGGAACGAAAGCGUGGGUAGCAAACAGG